UACGGGGGGGGCAAGCGUUGUUCGGAAUUACUGGGCGUAAAGGGCUCGUAGGCGGCCAACUAAGUCGGACGUGAAAUCCCCAGGCUCAACCUGGGAACUGCGUCCGAUACUGGAUGGCUUGAAUCCGGGAGAGGGAUGCAGAAUUCCAGGUGUAGCGGUGAAAUGCGUAGAUAUUAGGAAGAACACCAGUGGCGAAGGCGGCUCACUGGAUCGGUACUGACGCUGAGGUGCGAAAAGCGUGGGGGAGCAAACAGG
rnacentral:rRNA from 1 species